rnacentral:lncRNA from 1 species
CCUUGCUAACAGGCAUCACAAUCUAGUAACAGCCAUCUCCCAAGCUCACUUGGUCAGAGACUGCCAACAGCAAACCUGCUGAGCUGCUUCUCCUCUUCAAGAGGCUGCAGCCUCAGGACCCCAGGCAGAGAAAGUAUCUAUGAAAGAUUAAGAAGAUGGCUGAGUCCAUCCAGACACCACAGGCCAUGCUGCAGCAGCUGCAUGACUGUCACAGACACACCAGGGACAGUCUCCCCGGGAGUGACCACCAGUGACCUACCAAAAUCAAGAACAUCCUCAAGUGCCUUGUCCAGGAGAAGAGAAAUCCAUCCACCACAGAGCUGCAGGCUGCUGGAGAAAGCUGUAUUAUGCAAAUGGCCACAUUUUUCAGGCCAAAUGCUUCAGCAGGUUCACUGGGGCUUUCUUCUGCUUCAUCCUCACCCCAGGACCCAGGCUGUGGGAAGAGCUUAUGACUGGGCCUUGCUGACUGCUACAUCAGAGGGAAAGACAGUGAUAAAAUGCAUGCUUGGUUUUGAAGUUUUUGACCAGAAAUAAUACAUGGCACUAUUGUUAGCUGAAUAAGCAGGAUAUGAUAACAGAGAAGUCCAUGUGCAGACAGAGAAAGAGUCUAGAGUGAUGCGCUCACAUGGAAGAGCAUCAAGGCUGCAAUGAUUCAGCGGAAGCCAGGAAGGAGAUUCUUCUCCAGCUUUCGAGGGAGCAAGCACCUGCUGACACCUUGAUUCCAGACUUCAGACUCCAGAACUGUGGCAGAAUAAACUUCUCUUGGUGUAAGC